rnacentral:rRNA from 1 species
AGUCGCUAGCCAUGCGAGUCAUAUGUUCUUCGUGAACAUGGCGUACUGCUCAGUAACACGUGGAUAACCUGCCCUUGGGUCCGGCAUAACCCCGGGAAACUGGGGAUAAUUCCGGAUAACGCAUAUAUGCUGGAAUGCUUUCUGCGUAAAAUGGAUUCGUCUGCCCAAGGAUGGGUCUGCGGCCUAUCAGGUAGUAGUGGGUGUAAUGUACCUACUAGCCGACGACGGGUACGGGCUGUGAGAGCAAGAGCCCGGAGAUGGAUUCUGAGACAUGAAUCCAGGCCCUACGGGGCGCAGCAGGCGCGAAAACUUUACAAUGCGGGAAACCGUGAUAAGGGGACACCGAGUGCCAGCAUCAUAUGCUGGCUGUCCGGGUGUGUAAAAUACACCCGUUAGCAAGGGCCGGGCAAGACCGGUGCCAGCCGCCGCGGUAACACCGGCGGCCCGAGUGGUGAUCGUGAUUAUUGGGUCUAAAGGGUCCGUAGCCGGUUUGGUCAGUCCUCCGGGAAAUCUGAUAGCUCAACUAUUAGGCUUUCGGGGGAUACUGCCAGGCUUGGAACCGGGAGAGGUAAGAGGUACUACAGGGGUAGGAGUGAAAUCUUGUAAUCCCUGUGGGACCACCUGUGGCGAAGGCGUCUUACCAGAACGGGUUCGACGGUGAGGGACGAAAGCUGGGGGCACGAACCGGAUUAGAUACCCGGGUAGUCCCAGCCGUAAACGAUGCUCGCUAGGUGUCAGGCAUGGCGCGACCGUGUCUGGUGCCGCAGGGAAGCCGUGAAGCGAGCCACCUGGGAAGUACGGCCGCAAGGCUGAAACUUAAAGGAAUUGGCGGGGGAGCACAACAACGGGUGGAGCCUGCGGUUUAAUUGGACUCAACGCCGGACAACUCACCGGGGGCGACAGCAAUAUGUAGGCCAAGCUGAAGACUUUGCCUGAAUCG